UACGAAGGGGGCUAGCGUUGCUCGGAAUUACUGGGCGUAAAGGGCGCGUAGGCGGCCUGAUAAGUCGGGGGUGAAAUCCUGUGGCUUAACCACAGGGCUGCCUCCGAGACUGUCGGGCUCGAGCACAGUAGAGGCAGGUGGAAUUCCCGGUGUAGCGGUGGAAUGCGUAGAGAUCGGGAAGAACAUCGGUGGCGAAGGCGGCCGUGCUGGGCUGUUGCUGACGCUGAGGCGCGAC
rnacentral:rRNA from 1 species